GACGAACGCUGGCGGCGUGCUUAACACAUGCAAGUCGAGCGGUAAGGCCCUUUCGGGGGUACACGAGCGGCGAACGGGUGAGUAACACGUGGGUGACCUGCCCUCAGCUCUGGGAUAAGCCUGGGAAACCGGGUCUAAUACUGGAUAUGACUCCAUGACGCAUGUUGUGGGGUGGAAAGCCUUGUGCGGCUGAGGAUGGGCCCGCGGCCUAUCAGCUUGUUGGUGGGGUGAUGGCCUACCAAGGCGACGACGGGUAGCCGGCCUGAGAGGGCGACCGGCCACACUGGGACUGAGACACGGCCCAGACUCCUACGGGAGGCAGCAGUGGGGAAUCUUGCGCAAUGGGCGAAAGCCUGACGCAGCGACGCCGCGUGAGGGAU
rnacentral:rRNA from 1 species